ensembl:snRNA U1 U1 spliceosomal RNA
AUAGUAACCAGGAUUGGAAGAUAUCAUGAUCACAAAAGUGGUUUUCCCAGGGUGAGCUUAUGCUUUGUAUUCCAGGAGUGUUGAGCCCUGAGAUAUGAUCUUCCCAAAUCCUAGACAAUAGACUCCAUAAUUGUAGUAAUGAGAAGCUGUGUUCCCACUUUGUCUUA